CUUCUUGCUCCUACCAGGGUGAGGUAGUAAGUUGUAUUGUUGUGGGGUAGGGAUUUGUGCCCCAAAUCAGAGAUAACUAUACAACUUACUACUUUCCCUGCGUG
ensembl:miRNA